UCUUCUUCAAAAGAUUGGGACUGCUGACAAUCCUGCGGAUAUGUUGACAAAGCCAGUUUCGUUGCUCAAGUUUAAGCACUGCUUAGACUUAAUUGGCAUUUGUAAAAUUUGUUGAUUGCCCCAUAGGGGAUUGGGAGACGACUAUUGGGAGUUCUACUUCGAGGGUUUGAGCCAAGGUGGAGAUUGUUGAUUAUUGCCUCAAACCAAUAGUCAAAAGUGAUGGAUAUUGACAAGUUGCAAUGUGAAUGCAUUAAUUGGCUUUCACAAAUGGUGGUAGGCUAUUGUUGACUUGCCUAACCUUUGG
rnacentral:lncRNA from 1 species